rnacentral:rRNA from 1 species
GAUGAACGUUGGCGGUGUGCCUAAUACAUGCAAGUCGAACGGAGACUGUAGCAAUACUGUCUUAGUGGCGAACGGGUGAGUAACGCGUUGGUGAUCUGCCUCGAAGUGUGGAAUAACCUCCCGAAAGGGAAGCUAAUACCGCAUAGUCUCUCAAGGUUUAGAAAAUUGAGAGUAAAGGAUUUAUUCGCUUCGAGAGGAGCCUGCGUCCCAUCAGCUAGUUGGUAGGGUAACGGCCUACCAAGGCAAUGACGGGUAGGGGACCUGAGAGGGUGAUCCCCCACACUGGUACUGAGACACGGACCAGACUCCUACGGGAGGCAGCAGUGAGGAAUAUUGGUCAAUGGGCGGAAGCCUGAACCAGCCAUCCCGCGUGCAGGAAGACAGCCCUAUGGGUUGUAAACUGCUUUUCCAGUGGGCGAACCCCUCGUACGUGUACGGGAUUGACGGUACACUGGGAAUAAGCAUCGGCUAACUCCGUG